AUUCCAUGAUGGGGACAUUUUAGAAUGUAGUCUUGGAAGAGCUCCCGUGCUUCUAGAACAGAUUCAUCAUCUUGUUGCUAAAAACUUGUAAUUUUCCCACAGCGAGC
rnacentral:snoRNA from 1 species